rnacentral:rRNA from 1 species
AUUGAACGCUGGCGGCAUGCUUUACACAUGCAAGUCGAACGGAAACAGGCCGCAAGGUGCUGACGAGUGGCGAACGGGUGAGUAAUGCAUCGGAACGUGCCCAGUCGUGGGGGAUAACGCAGCGAAAGCUGCGCUAAUACCGCAUACGAUCUAUGGAUGAAAGCGGGGGACCGAAAGGCCUCGCGCGAUUGGAGCGGCCGAUGUCAGAUUAGGUAGUUGGUGGGGUAAAGGCCCACCAAGCCAACGAUCUGUAGCUGGUCUGAGAGGACGACCAGCCACACUGGGACUGAGACACGGCCCAGACUCCUACGGGAGGCAGCAGUGGGGAAUUUUGGACAAUGGGCGCAAGCCUGAUCCAGCAAUGCCGCGUGCAGGAAGAAGGCCUUCGGGUUGUAAACUGCUUUUGUACGGAACGAAACGGUCCGGGUUAAUACCCUGGGCUAAUGACGGUACCGUAAGAAUAAGCACCGGCUAACUCCGUGCCAGCCGCCGCAGUAAAAC